GAUUUUGGAAAAAAAAUUCGAGUUCAUGGAUAUAUCAAAAGUGAAUGACUUCAAAUUUGAGAAAAAUUUUCUUUAUUCUUUGAUUGAGAUCUUCAUAGAUUGGAACGAGCAAGUUAGAAAUUGGGUUGUAUUUUUUUUUUUUGAAAAAUUUCGUGAGAUUUUUAGUGUAUGUAUAGUUUCUGUAUCUAUAUCUAUAUCUAUCUAUGUUGUUUUUACUUCAAUUGAUUUCGUUGUUGUUUGUGAUUUUGUGUUAUAGGUAUCCGUUUGUGGAUAAAAGACGGUGACUAAAUAUCUUAUCAAAUGGUGUUUUGUAGAGAUUACAAGAGUGUUAACAAUGGCUAUUGCAAAUUCUAUUGAUCCAUCCAAAGCAGGAUUUAAAGGAGCAAAAAGAAGGGAUCAUGCUAUUGAAACUAGAUCAUCGAACCUUGCUGAAUUUGCUUUUCUUGAGCAAAGAUUCAUCUUUCGGUGCCUAAUAGCAGACUGUGGUCCGAUACUCUCUGUGUGGUGAGGGUAAAAAUUGAAGCCAUAUUCCUAUUGUGCUUCUGCCCCAAAAUGAAACUAACUGAACAAGCACUGGUUGUGAUUGCUAUAUCUCAGGUUAUUUAGCUGCUUACAAGAAUGAUCAACAUCUGAUGAAAUGCUUGAGGCAUCUCUAGGCUGGUUUGCCCAUGAACCCGAAUUAUUCGAAGUCGAACCAGUUAACCCAAACACCCCCGAAUACCAGUUAUCUUUAGGGGGUAUGACCAGCAAAAGAAAGCUUAAAGGCGGAAAACACUAGCAAGCGUCAAUGGAGAAGCGUCCUAAGAAGCAAACCUGACAGUUUUAGAGGAUGCUUGUCACAUCCGGAAGCGGAUUGGUUAUCACAUAGUAUGAUGCAGUAGCAGCAUUUUGAAGGGUUCUCUACUUUUCUGCUUAAUCUAAGCAUCUAUCCGUCUUAACAAAAUUGUUCUUUUGGAAUUCCCGAUCAUUCAACCACCUUUGUGUGGACUUUUACCCAAAUCUGAUGGUUUUGUAAUGAAUGUAACUUUAAUACUCGCAUCUGCAAGCCGCUGGGAUUUGUUAUAUUGUUUUCGUUGUGCA